rnacentral:rRNA from 1 species
CAGCCGCCGCGGGAAUACGUAGGUGGCAAGCGUUGUCCGGAAUUAUUGGGCGUAAAGGGCUCGCAGGCGGUUUCUUAAGUCUGAUGUGAAAGCCUCCGGCUCAACCGGGGAGGGUCAUUGGAAACUGGGAAACCUGAGUGCAGAAGAGGAGAGUGGAAUUCCACGUGUAGCGGUGAAAUGCGUAGAGAUGUGGAGGAACACCAGUGGCGAAGGCGACUCUCUGGUCUGUAACUGACGCUGAGGAGCGAAAGCGUGGGGAGCGAACAGGAUUAGAUACCUCCGUAGUCCCUGUCUCUUAUAC